rnacentral:rRNA from 1 species
AGUGGACGCUGGCGGUAGGCCUAACACAUGCAAGUCGAACGGCAGCACAGUAAGAGCUUGCUCUUACGGGUGGCGAGUGGCGGACGGGUGAUGAAUACAUCGGAAUCUACUUUUUCGUGGGGGAUAACGUAGGGAAACUUACGCUAAUACCGCAUACGACCUACGGGUGAAAGCAGGGGAUCUUCGGACCUUGCGCGAUUGAAUGAGCCGAUGUCGGAUUAGCUAGUUGGCGGGGUAAAGGCCCACCAAGGCGACGAUCCGUAGCUGGUCUGAGAGGAUGAUCAGCCACACUGGAACUGAGACACGGUCCAGACUCCUACGGGAGGCAGCAGUGGGGAAUAUUGGACAAUGGGCGCAAGCCUGAUCCAGCCAUACCGCGUGGGUGAAGAAGGCCUUCGGGUUGUAAAGCCCUUUUGUUGGGAAAGAAAAGCAGCAGGUUAAUACCCCGCUGUUCUGACGGUACCCAAAGAAUAAGCACCGGCUAACUUCGUG